rnacentral:rRNA from 1 species
UACGUAGGUGACAAGCGUUAUCCGGAUUUAUUGGGCGUAAAGCGCACGCAGGCGGCUCUUCAAGUCUGACGUGAAAUCUCUCGGCUUAACCGGGAGCGGUCGUUUGGAAACUGAAGGGCUUGAGGCGAUGAGAGGGCGGUGGAAUUCCGGGUGUAGUGGUGAAAUGCGUAGAGAUCCGGAGGAACACCAGUGGCGAAGGCGGCCGCCUGGACCUGACCUGACGCUGAGGCGCGAAGGCGCGGGGAGCGAACGGG